AUUGAACGCUGGCGGCAGGCCUAACACAUGCAAGUCGAACGAGUGGCGGACGGGUGAGUAAUGUCUGGGAAACUGCCUGAUGGAGGGGGAUAACUACUGGAAACGGUAGCUAAUACCGCAUACCAUCGGAUGUGCCCAGAUGGGUUUAGAUUGUUGGUGGGGUAACGGCUCACCAAGGCGACGAUCCCUAGCUGGUCUGAGAGGAUGACAAGGCACACGUGAACUGAGACACGGUCCAGACUCCGACGGGAGGCAGCAGUAGGGAAUAUUGCACAAUGGGGGAAAGCCUGAUGGAGCCAUGCCGCGUGUAGGAAGAAGGUCUUCGGGUUGUAAAGUACUUUCAGCGGGGAGGCGUUACCCGCACAGUAAGCACCGGCUAACUCCGUGCCAGCAGCCGCGGUAAUAC
rnacentral:rRNA from 1 species